UCCCCUGCCUCGGGGGCGCCUCUCCGCGGCAGUGGCGGUGCAGUGGCUGCCCAAAGGCCCGCGGCCUGGCGUCUUCUCCUCAGGAAGGGGCUGCCCGGCCCGGCCCGGGUGGCCUUGCGUUGCCCGGCCGGCCUGUGCGUUCUCCAGCCCGCCGUUGCUCGGGCAUUGUGGCCAUCCGGACGACUGCGUGGUGGCAGGUAGCGCGACACUGGGUACAUCACAAAUGCCAGCUGCGGCCGGAAUAGGUUAACCAGCACGGUCAACGGCAGUGUCUUCAGCAAGCUCUCCUGAGGGGGUGAGGAGUAACAGUUCCAGAUAAAGACACUACAGAUAACGAUUUUUAUCACAAAUGUCAGAAGGGAACGUGGAGCCUUGUGUUCGGUGAUGAGAGCAAUGAACAGCUUAAACAGUGACCCGACACCUGUCUGGGUAAGGCAGGCGUUUUGCAUGUCGAACACACUAAGUCACCGUGCCUCAACAGCUAAAAGGUGUAGUUUGACUCAUUUUCUGAUGAACACGGAAGGUGUACAUCCCGUGUCGGGGUGAGAAACUUUUGUCGGGUGUCUGCCAGGUACAACCGAGAAGCGCUUUGGUAGCUCCUGCACUCCCGCUGUAGGUCACAAGAUGGCGUAUGAAUACCCAGAAAGAUGACUGUCCGAGUAACCCGUUCAGCAGUGAAAGACCCAUCUUACUGUUGUGUUUUGCUUGGGCACCGUAAUAAUUCUUGCUAGCACACAGACAGGAUUUCCUCGUAGUAGUAGUUAUUAAAUGUUAUUUUUCAGGAGUCGUAUUCAGAAAGGUUGUAAGAGGUAUAUGGAAAUUCAAGUCUGCAUUUUUAGUAAUUUACAGGUUGCGCUGUCUAUAGCGAGGAUUGCCGGAGGGCUGGACUUGCCGGAGGAGCAGCGUGCUGUCAUAAGGAAGUCUAUCCCAGCUAUCAGAUAAAUGAGGAGGGAUACAGAAGCAUUUUUCAAAACCAAAACAUUCUGUAGAUGACACAUUUGUUUUUCAAAGCAGGAAAUACUUACUGAGUGAUGGUGUUCUUUUGGGCCUGCACUUUGCCAGAUGCACGCUGAUUCGUUGGUGGCCGUUGCUCAUUAUACCCAUAAUUGGGAAGUGACAUUGUUUCUGGCCUAGAGAAGAGAGCAAAUCCACAGUGUGUCCAAUCAGGCACCAGACAGUUGUUGACGUGACAGAUUUUUCUUUGGGAAGUGAAUUGUUUUACCACUUUUUGCCUAACUUCAGUCUUGUCUUUUAAUAAGAAAUGCCAGCCCAUCUGUUUUACUGGAAUGCCCAUAGUUGUGGAUUAGCAGGCCAUUUUCAAUAGCACUGCUUAUUUUAAAAGCAGAUCAAGGGACACUGAAAGUACGUGUCUUGAAAUGUAAUAUCCUAGGAAGAGUCUUUGGUCUGGCAAAAUAGUGCCAAAUAGUUCUGCUCACCGUACUCUCUAUUUCUUUAGGACAGCUAGGAGUUGGAGAGUCUAAAUCCUUUUCCUCAUCCAAGAGUGGAUCACAGUGUAGAAAAGGUUGAAGACACACGCUGUGGGCAAAUGCAGUUGGUAUCAGUACAGAAGAAAAUAAUUCAGAUGUAUAAGCCACUUGUUACGAUAAAUCUGUCGAGUGAAGUUCUUUGAAAAAGGGGUAAUUUUUUGAGAAGGGGUGAAAAAGGGGUGACUCAAGAAAGCCCAAGUUCUGACCCGAACUGGUAGAUGCCGUAAAGAGGUGGUACGUUGCCACUGGCCGCUGCGGAUUUCCUCGUACCGUACUUGAGCUUCGGUUGCACCAAGUGUAAAAGAUCAGAAAGGACAGUGAAGUUAUUCUGAGCAUUUGACUUGCUAAGCAUUGCUUGACUGCAGCAGCAGGUGAUUACAAGCUGUAACUUUAGCCAUGUGAAGCUCAGGUUACCUUCUGAGCACAACAUUCAUUACAAUUAAACAGCACCUGCACAGCAUCUUAGAGCAGCACCUUGGCAGGCUCUAGGUGAGAAGCAAGAGAUAAGGGUGAUAAAAUUCGUGGUUGGUCCCAGUUCUGUUCAGUGUGCGUAAGAGUGAAAAUGUCAGUACGUGUGCCUUUACAAAUUACACAAAAUUAGAAGAUGGCCAAAACAGUAAAGAUGAAAAAAGUGUGAGACGACCUGGCAACAUUGGGACUGGAGGGAGUGUCUCAGCCUGGUGAAUAUGGAAGUGCAUGGUCACAUAGCACUGGAACUGGUGAAACCUAGAUUCCCGUUUUCUGUUUGCUUCUGGAUUUUCCAUUGCCUAGUAAUGUACAAGUGGCAGCCGAAGCUUUGCUCACAAUUAGGGCAUUUGUAUUGCUCCCCCAUUCCCACGUGAAUCCUGUAAUGUCAAAAAAAAAAAAAGUUUGAACUUACGUUGCACCUUCUUUUCACAGCGACUGCUGAUAGAAAACCAUCAUGAAGCUUGUGGGAACUUACUCUCUUUGCACUUAUUUCAGUUAAAUUGGCUUGAAAGUGGUCGGUGGGCUCAAAAGGAAUGAGGGGAAGAAGGAUGGACACAUACACAUACCUUGGAAACCAGACUAAAAGCAUCAAAUGGAAUUUGGUACGAGGACUGUGUCUCCCACUUGUUGCGUUAAGCAUGUGCAACAAGGCAGGUUGAGAAGAGAGUUGCUGGUGCAUGUUCUCUCAAAAUCAUCUUGAGAGUAGUUAGGACAGCAAGUUUGGGGUCGGUUUUAUGCAAAACAAG